UUAACAUCAGGAAUUCCUUUCCAAUGUUUAGAUUGAAUCUCUUUUCCUGUAGUUUGAAUAAAUUGCUCUGGGGCAGGAGAUAGUAUUUUCAACAUGACUUUUUUUCAAAUGGGACUGAUAUUAAUGACAGUUCAUUUUGUAUCUGCAACAAUUGUUACAUUUGAUUGAAUUUUAACUAAUAGGGUUUUAUGAUACUAUAUUUGUUAUUGCUAGUGUGGUUGUUUAUGCACUUGUCUGUAUUUUGUAUGUUGCACUAUUGAGUGUUUCUGUGAGCCACCCCGAGUCCCUCCGGGGAGAUGGUGACAGGGUAUUAUUAUUAUUAUUAAACUAGCUGUGCCCGGCCACGUGUUGCUGUGGCUUAUGGGAAUCAUUUUUUGGCCAGGUAGAAUAGCAGUGAAUAGCCUUGCAGCCUCAAAGCCAGGCCAUUUUCUUCUUAUGGGAAUCCUUGUUUGGUGAACUGGAAUACAACAGAAUAGGCUUGCUGCUUGGGAGGCUGGGUACUUGCGUUCUAGGGGAAUGUUUUUUUAGGCUGCUAGAAUUGCAAUGAAUAACCUCACUACUUCAAAGCCUGGCUGCUUGUUAUCUAGCAGAAUCUUUGGUUGGUCAGCUUCAAUAGUACAAAGUAGUAUUGCUGCUUCAAAGCCUGGCUGCCUUCUACCAAGGUUAAUCCUUUGUUGGUCUGGUUAAAUUGCACUGAAUAGCCUUGCAGCUUCAAUGCCUGGCUGUGUUGUAGCUAGGGGAAUCCUUGUUUGGCGAGCUGGAGUAGCACCAUCAAUCAAAGAGCUACUUUGAAGCCUGGCUACUUCCUUUGUAGGGGAAUCAUUGUUUGGCCAGCUUGAAUUGCACUGAAUAGUCUUGCAGUUUAAAAGCCUGGCCACUUUCUACCUUGUGGAAUCCUUGGUUGCCCAGAUUGAAUAGCAAUUAAUAGUCUUGGUGCAGCAAGUAUGAAUGCUGCAAUUAGUCACCUUGAUUAGCAUUGAAUGGCCUUGCAGCUUCAAAGCCUGGAUAUUUCCAGCUGGGAGGUUGUUGGGAGGUGUUAGCUGGCCCUGAUUGUUUCCUGGCUGGAAUUUCCCUGUUUUCAGAGUGCUGUUCUUUGUUUACUGUCCUGAUUUUAGAGAUUAUAUUGUUCUGUAUUAUUCCACACUGAACUGGAUUAUAUGUCAGUGUGGACUCAAGAUAAGCCAGUUCAAAGCAGAUACUGUGGAUUAUGUGCCUUGGCAUUCUGGGUUAUACAGCUGUGUGGGAGGGACUUGAGUCUACACUGCCAUAUAAUCCAGUUCAAAUCAGAUAAUCUGUAUUUUAUAGGCAGUCUGGAUGAGGCCUAAGUGCACUCUGCCUGUGCCCUGGGCACCAUUUUGGCUGAGGAAAUUGCUAGGAUACAAAGUGGGUGAGGCCUAAAGGGGGCGGGGCCUACCACUCUGAGCCGUUUCUAAAGGGGGAAACAGCUCUUUCUCCUCUAAUUUGGGCUUUGUUUUUCUAGGUUUUUUUUGUUUGAAAGACAUAGACUGAAUGACUAUGUCUUCUGUGGCCAAAUUUGGUGUGAUUUGGUUCAGUGGUUUUGCUGUUUACUCCAUAGUAAAACAGCACAUUACAUUUAUAUAUAUAUACUAGCUGUGCCCGGCCACGCGUUGCUGUGGCAAAGUGGUGGUGGUAUUGGUUAAAAAUUGUUGUGUAAUUUUUAUUUGACGUUAUUUGCAUUUUUAAAUUACAGUAGAGUCUCACUUAUCCAACACUCGCUUAUCCAACGUUCUGGAUUAUCCAACAUAUAUUUGUAGUCAAUGUUUUCAAUAUAUCGUAAUAUUUUGGUGCUAAAUUCGUAAAUACAGUAAUUACUACAUAGCAUUACUGCGUAUUGAACUACCUUUUAUGUCAAAUUUGUUGUAUAACAUGAUGUUUUGGUGCUUAAUUUGUAAAAUCAUAACCUAAUUUGAUGUUUAAUAGGCUCUUCCUUAAUCUCUCCUUAUUAUCCAACAUAUUCGCUUAUCCAACGUUCUGCCGGCCCGUUUACGUUGGAUAAGCGAGACUCUACUGUAAUUUUAUUGUAAGUUAUAUUUUUAUUUUAUUAUAUUUUAUUAUUUUCUUGUAUUAUUUUUAGUUAUUUUCUGUUAUUAUAGUAUUUUAUUGUAUUAAUUUUUUAGUGUUUUGUAUUAUUUUUUAUUGGGUUGCUAGGAGACCAAGUUGGAGGAGCUUAGCCUUCUAACUGGCAGCAAUUGGAUAAAAGCAAUUAUUCCUCUCUCUCUAAUUAGGACUUUAUUUUUCUUUUCUUUUUGUUGUAUCAACCUAGAGGCGUGGAUGAUGGGUUGUGUCGUCAAAUUUCGAGGUUGGGGGGCCUGUAGUUUUGUUGUUUUGUGAGUUGCCGUGAUGCCAUCACUCUUUUAUAUAUAUAUAGAGAGAGAGAGAGAGAGAGAGGGAGAGAGAGAGGGAGAGAGAGAGAGAUGUUGCUAUCAUAUCAUAACCUUCUUAACCUUCUCUUUUUCAGGCUAAACAUACAAUUUUAGAUAACUAUAAAUCCAGAAAACUGAUAAAGGAAUACAUAAUUUAAUUAAAAAUUUGAAAAUUAUUCAGCUGCAACUUGCUUAUGCUAUGAAUUAUGAAGUGUCAACAAGUGACUGAGCACACAAUAGCAUACUUACAGGACUUCCAUCAGGACCAGGAGGACCUCUGUUUCCAAAUUCACCUCGUAAGCCCUGGUUAAAACAGCAACACUUUAAUUAGAAAUCACAGGAUAUCCUUAAUAUUUUGUAUUGAGAGAUAGCUGGACAAAACUAGCUAUUUGAACUUUUUAUAAAUGGUGAAUGCUUAGGACUACUGACUGGCUUUUCUUUUCUGACAGCUUGGUGCGCAUACAUAUAUACAAGUGAUCUUAUAUGUGGAAGGAGCCAUAUAACACAACAAUAUAAUGUUCAUGUUGUUCUGCACAAAAUGCUUUACAGGGGAGUCAGUUCACGGAUUGAUUUGCGUCUUUCCAAAUGUACACUCAAAAGAACAAUCAAGUGACCAAUCUGUGCAUAUCAACUACACACUAAUGUAUAUUAGCAGAACACAACAGAACAAAUAUCAACACAUAUGACUCCCAAGCAAUCUUCCGCCACUAGGCAAGGAACUGAAUGUCUGAGGCCGCUUCCACACAGCUGUAUAAAAUCCUCAUUAAACUGGAUUAUAUGGCAGUGUGGACUUAGAUAACCCAGUUCAAAGCAGAUAUUGUGGGUUAUUUGACUUGAUAUUCUGGGUUAUAUGGCUGUGUGAAAGGGUCCUGAAUGUGCCCAUACAAGGUCAGAAGCUGUAUUAGUAAAAUAUAAAAGAAUGGCAUAUGUUAGAAGAUGUUACUACUGCAGCAUUCAUUUCCUGAGUUUAGAUUAGAAGUAUUUAUUUCCAGACACAGCAAAAUUAAAGCAUUUUAUUAAAGAAGUUGUUAAGGCAAUCCCCCAAAAUCAAAACAUCAGUAAAACUGUCUACAUUAGGUAGAGAUCUGUACUGUUGGUGGACUGCAAUCUCAAGUAGUUUGUGGUAUGGAAAAUUGUUAGCAGCAAUGUGGGGGACAUGCCCUUAUCAGCAGUUGAUGGUGGUAAUGUAGGAAGGAGCACUAUGGCUCCUUUUACAUUGCCAUAUAAAAUCCAGAUUAUCUGCUUUGAACUGGAGUAUAUAGCAGUGUAGUUUUAUAUAAUCCAGUUCAAAGCAGAUCAUGUGGAUUAUCUGUUUUGAUAAUCUGGAUUCCAUGGCAGUGUAGAAGGGACCUAUGAAAGGUAUUGGGAUGAACUGUGGCUCUUAAAGAAGCCGAUCAUUAACUAAUGUGAGCAGAGGUCAAUAAAGUGUUUGAAGUAACAGGCACACCUACCAUCAAAGCAAUAAUAUGCCAUCUCUCAUGUCAGUUGGACAUUCUUCAAGACACAAAUCUGUAUUUGUAGGACUGUGAUUUUCAACUUUGCUUCUCUAGAUGUUUCAGACUCCAACUUGAGGGAGUUGGGAGUCCAAAACAGAUGAAGGACCAAAACGGAGAACUAGUGUAUUGGGUGAACCUAUCAUCUGAUACAUCAAGGCAUUAGGCUGGUUCUAAAAUGUUUUAUAGAGCAAACUUUAAAUUCUGAACUUUUCAGAAAAUUGUAAUUCUACAAAACAUAGGAACAGUUGCUUCCAAUGCCAUAUGAUCAUUCCCAUUUUGUAACAUGGAUUUUUACUAGCUGUUUUCAAUAUGUUAUGGUAGGUGGUAUGUAUAGUCUAUUGCUGAAAAGGAAAAAAUCCCACUGGAUAUAAUCAAGCUCCUGGGAUCAAAAAUUAUUUUUUAAGAUCACAGUCUAGAAUUCUCCUAAAAGAUUUAUUUCCCUUGCCCCUGGCUUAAAUAUUUCUCUUUACAUUUUAGGUAGCACUGUAACUAUUUAGGUGGUUCAAAGAUUUUUGGCACUAAAUAAUACCAUUUGCUGUGCUACUGUAAAACCUUUCAAAGCGGAAGUCUAUUAAUAUUUUACUAGGAACUGUGAUUGAUUGUUCUUGCCAUUAGUGCAAGUUAUACUGGAAAAUUGUUACUAAAAUUUAUGAAGUAUCCCACAUCAUACUGACUUUUAGCUGCAAGAAAGUCUUCAUAGAAUUUGUUCCACUGUCCAACUAUAAAGUUUGUAAAAUUCUGCAUAUUGUAUAUAACACAAUUGGCAGUAACUUUAAAAUAUGGCAACUCCUGCCAGGUUUUGUGUAAUAUACAUAAUGGGGAAAAUAAAUUCAGUACAUAUGUUUUGGAUAACAGAAUAAUUUAUUUAAACAUAGUGUACAUUUAGCAUUUUGUCAUUUGCUUUAAAACUAGACACUAUAAUUAUUCUUAAUGGUAAAGCUAUCCAAACUAAUAUUUUGUUCCAUUUCAUUUAUACCAAAAUAAUUUUAAGUAUUGCCAUUGCUAAAAGUAGCCAUUUUUCUCAAAGAAGCUGUAUAUACAUUGUGAUUAUCUAUGAAGUAGGAUUAAAGGAUUAAGUAAUACAAAGUCAAGAUCAUUUUCAAAGGUGUACAUGCCUAAUUCAUUGGGUGGGGGAAAUAAUCUCAAAAUACUCAAUAAAAUGAAGCUAUCAUAUUUCAAAUACCAAGUUCUUCUUCAGGGGAAACCUUUCUUACAGAAUUUUAUGACAGUGUGGCAGUUUCCAUUAAAAUGUUCUUGUGUUAUUCUGUUGCAGCAAAAAUAGUUCUGUGGUGCUUUAAAGACUAGCAAAUUUAUUACUGCAUGUUUUACAGCUCACUUCAACAGAAGUAUGAAGCAUUAUUACACAUACAUGUAUAUGUAAAGUAAUAAAAAUAAAUAUGUGCAUCACCAUAUGUGUUUUUUCCCCCAUGUCAAGAGUGACUUGAGAAACUGCAAGUUGCUUCUGGUGUGAGAGAAUUGGCCAUCUGCAAGGACAUUGCCCAGGGAAUGCCCGGAUGUUUUGAUGUUUUAACCAUCCUUGUGAGAGGCUUCUCCCAUGUCCCCAUAUGGAGCUUGAGCUGAUAGAGGGAGCUCAUCCACGUUCUCCCCGGGUUGGAUCCGAACCAGCAACCUUCAGCCUCUGGAGCAGCAGAAAACAAACUCACUUCAUCUUCAUGACAUUUCUUCUGACACCAUGCUACCUUUCAGUCUUCUUUUCUUCAAGCUGAACAUACUCACUCCCCUAAGCGGUUCCUGAGCUGGGUUCCAGACCUUUGGUCAUCUUGCUUGCCUUCUCUACAUACGUUCCAGUUCAUCAACAUCCCUCUUCAACUGUUGUAUACAGAACUGGACACAGUAUUCCAAGUGAAGUCUACCCAAAGCAAAGUAGAGCAACACUAAAACUUUGCUUGAUAUGGAUGCUAUAUGUUUUUUGGCUGUUGACAAAUUUACUCAUGUUCAAUAUGUGGAGACUCCUAGACCCUUAUUACAUAUACUGUUUUCAACACAGGCAUCAUUUUUCCUGGCUAGUGCCUUAAGACAACAUGAGGCACUACUCUGUAAACAUUUAAGACCUGAAUAAAAGUUUUACAUCAGAAAUGGACUAGACAAAUUUCAACAGUUUCAUAGUGUGAUGACUCAUGGGCCAUGUAGUCCCGUUCCUAGCGCUGUUGUGACAGAUGAAGAGGAAAACUUAGGUUUCCCACCGUUUCAGCCAGAAUUGGAGCUUUCUCAGCCAGAAAUGGAGCCCUUGCACCUGCAGGAGAUUUGUCUUCCAGAAGUUUGUCAAACAAGCCCUGAGCCGAAAUCUCCCCCAUUUUCUCGCCAUGAUUAUUGUAAACAACAGAGGGGCGCUCAGGAGGCGUCUCGCAGGAGCGCUAGGAUCGCUGCAAAGCAUUCAGCUGAUUAAGCCUGCUUCCCAUGGGAAACUUUAAGGAGUCAUGCAUCUGGACUCAGAGAAUAGCUUUCGUUUCUGGUUCCCCAGAGAACUGCUCUUUGGCGGGAAAACGAGACCCUACUUAGGUGUUUUGCCCACGAAGGAAUCUUGCGGAGUCAAUUCGUCAGCUUCGGGAGUAGGUUGUGUGUGGACUACGCUACUCCCGCAUCCAAGUCCUUUGCUCUCGUUUCCAGCCCUGCCUUGCUUCCCAGGACCCUGCCUUGCUUCACGGACCUUGCCUUGCUUCCCGGACCUCGCCACGUAAUUACCACGGAUCCUGUUUUUGCUCCUUGUUCUUGUUGCCUUGAAUUAAGCCUUGUAUCCAAGAAUCAAGUUAUUUCCUUGCCUUGCCUAAGUUUCAUGGACUAAAGGACCUUGUCUUCACCCCUCACUUUGCUUGGCAAAGUGAGUGUUUCGGUUACUGGAUUAUAACUUUGGACCUUAAUAUUUCAUAUUGGACAUUGUUUUCCUGGACUAUAAUUGACCUUUCCCGAAAGGUCUUCUUCUGAACUUUAUUCUGCACUUAUUUUUAUUGACUUUACAUAUUUCCUUAAUAAAGAUAUUAGAUAGA